rnacentral:rRNA from 1 species
GACGAACGCUGGCGGCGCGCCUAACACAUGCAAGUCGAACGAGCGAGAGAGAGCUUGCUUUCUUGAGCGAGUGGCGAACGGGUGAGUAACGCGUGAGGAACCUGCCUCAAAGAGGGGGACAACAGUUGGAAACGACUGCUAAUACCGCAUAAGCCCACGGUGCCGCAUGGCACAGAGGGAAAAGGAGCAAUCCGCUUUGAGAUGGCCUCGCGUCCGAUUAGCUAGUUGGUGAGGUAACGGCCCACCAAGGCGACGAUCGGUAGCCGGACUGAGAGGUUGAACGGUCAAGUUGGGACUGAGACACGGCCCAGACUCCUACGGGGGGGAGCAGGGGGGAAUAUUGCCAAAUGGGGGAAACCCUGAUGCGGGGACGCCGGGGGGGGGAAGAAGGUUUUCGGAUUGUAAACCCCUUUUGUGGGGGAAGAUAAUGACGGUACCCAAAAAGGAAGGGACGGCUAACUACGU